rnacentral:lncRNA from 1 species
GAUUGGGGAAGAGAUUUGGAGGAGUUGGAGUCGGAAUCGGCGGUUUGUGACAGAGAGAGGAGGGAGAGGCGCGGAGAAAAUGAGGAAGAAGAGAACGAAAUGAGGGAGAAGAAGAAGGGUUGGUUUAUAUAUCAAAAACAAACCAAUGGAUAAAUUCCGUCGGAAUUCCGUCGGUUUAUUUUUACGCUGUUAAUAAAAUAAUUUCGCGAAUAUUCUUCCCGGGUAAAGUGAAAUAUUUCGACAAAAUUCCGACGAAAACUUCCCGUCACUCUUUUUCCGUCGGAAUUCUGUCGGAAUAAACGCGAAUAUCGACAAAGGAAGCCUCGAGAAAUCUUUGACUUUGU